CGGGGUGUGGCGAAGUUUGGUAUCGCGCUUGGUUCGGGACCAAGAGGCCUCGAGUUCGAAUCUCGACACUCCGACCA
rnacentral:tRNA from 3 species